UAACGAAUCUUCCGCAAUGUACGAAAGUAUGACGGAGCGACGCCGCGUGUAGGACGAAGCCCUUCGGGGUGUAAACUACUGUCAGGGGUUAGAAAGUUCUGAUCAACCCCAGAGGAAGGCACGGCUAACUCUGUGCCAGCAGCCGCGGUAAGACAGAGGUGCCGAGCGUUAGGCGGAAUCACUGGGCUUAAAGCGUGUGUAGGCGGACUUCUAAGUACCUUGUGAAAUCCCACGGCUUAACCGUGGAACUGCUUGGUAUACUGGUUGUCUUGGGCCAGCUAGGGGCUACCGGAACAAACGGUGGAGCGGUGAAAUGCGUAGAUAUCGUUUGGAACGCCAAUGGUGAAAACAGGUAGCUGGGGAUGUGCCGACGCUGAGACACGAAAGCCAGGGGAGCGAACGGGAUUAGAUACCCCCGUAGUCC
rnacentral:rRNA from 1 species